GGCGGGGUAGCGCAGAGGCCGUCGCGCCGGCUCUCCAAGCCGGAGGACGCCGGUUCGAUUCCGGCCCCCACUU
rnacentral:tRNA from 1 species